AGAAUGUGAAAAAAUUGGAACAUUUAUGAAAAUAAAUAUCGAUAAGAGGAAAUAUGAAAGCCAGCGGAUUUAUAGAAAUUAAAAAUUCAUAGGUAUUUCAUGAUUUCCCAACGGUGCUCGAUAUAUCUUCUGAUGGCAUACGAUGCGAGACGAUUUAAUUGCAUCGACUAUUGUGCGGAAGUGGAAUUUCGGGAUUGAAAUGGAGGGGAUGGCUCGUUUCCGGUCGAAUUCGACGGCUUGAUCGACGAUGGCGAAGGAUUUUGUUGAUUUUAAUGGUGGACGAAGGAGCGAGAGAGAAAGUGGUAUGCAAUGAACACACGUGGAAA